rnacentral:snoRNA from 1 species
CCGCGAGGAGGAGGCUCUGUGUUCUCUCCUGAGGGUGAAGCGGCUCUUGGUGUUGCUUUAGUGCAAUUGCCAUUUGCCAUUGAUGAUCGUUCUUUUCUUCCUUUGGGGGAAUAAGAGGGAGAGAACGCAGUCUGAGUGG